rnacentral:rRNA from 1 species
AUUGAACGCUGGCGGCAGGCCUAACACAUGCAAGUCGAGCGGAUGCUUGGAGCUUGCUCCUUGAUUCAGCGGCGGACGGGUGAGUAAUGCCUAGGAAUCUGCCUGGUAGUGGGGGACAACGGUUCGAAAGGAACGCUAAUACCUCAUACGUCCCACGGUAGAAAGCAGGGCACCUCCGGGCCGUGCGCUAUCAGAUGAGCCUAGGUCGGAUUAGCUAGUUGGUGGGGUAAUGGCUCACCAAGGCGACGAUCCGUAACUGGUCUGAAGGGAUGAUCAGUCAGACUGGAACUGAGACACGGUCCAGACUCCUGCGGGAGGCAGCAGUGGGGAAUAUUGGACAAUGGGCGAAAGCCUGAUCCAGCCAUGCCGCGUGUGUGAAGAAGGUCUUCGGAUUGUAAAGCACUUUAAGUUGGGAGGAAGGGCAGUAAGUUAAUACCUUGCCGUUUUGACGUUACCGACAGAAUAAGCACCGGCUAACUCUGUGCCAGCAGCCGCGGUAAUAC